rnacentral:rRNA from 1 species
UACGGGGGGGGCAAGCGUUGUUCGGAAUUACUGGGCGUAAAGGGCUCGUAGGCGGCCAACUAAGUCAGACGUGAAAUCCCUCGGCUUAACCGGGGAACUGCGUCUGAUACUGGAUGGCUGGAGAUUGGGAGAGGGAUGCGGAAUUCCAGGUGUAGCGGUGAAAUGCGUAGAUAUCUGGAGGAACACCGGCGGCGAAGGCGGCAUCCUGGACCAACACUGACGCUGAGGAACGAAAGCCAGGGGAGCAAACGGG